rnacentral:rRNA from 1 species
AUACGUAGGUGGCGAGCGUUACUCGGAAUUACUAGGCGUAAAGCGUAUGUAGGCGGUUGUAUAAGUCUAUGGUGAAAUUUCCCGGCUCAACUGGGAAGGGACAUAGAUACUGUAUGGCUUGAGUGUUGGAGGGGGAGACGGAAUUCCUGGUGUAGCGGUGAAAUGCGUAGAUAUCAGGAGGAACACCGAUGGCGAAAGCAGUCUCCUGGCCAAAUACUGACGCUGAGGUACGAAAGCUAGGGUAGCAAACAGGAUUAGAUACCCUGGUAGUCCUAGCUGUAAACGAUGUUCACUAGAUGUGGGAGGUAUCGACCCCUUCCGCGUCGACGCUAACGCAUUAAGUGAACCGCCUGGGGAGUACGGCCGCAAGGUUGAA